CGGUCUCAUCGUCUGCCAUUUCAAGUAUUGAUGGAAACAUACAUGGAAUCAUACAUGACAGUCAUAGAAAUCGUCUUACUACAAAUUUCUACAAAGUCCUACAAAGUCCGAAAUCAUACAUGUAUAUAAUGAAAUCAUAAAAUAACAUGAAUCCUACAAAGUCCGGAAUAUUUAUACAAAUUUCUACAAAUUUUUACGAAUUUCUACAAAUUUCUACGAAUUUCUAGCAAUAACCAUAUGCGGUGCCUAGGUUGUGACGGCGGCGGUUAGGGCGGCGGAGGCGAGGACGGUUCCCUGGAACCACGGGCGGUGCCUAGGUUGUGACGGCGGCGGUCAGGGUGGCGGUACGGCGGAGGCAGGGACGGUUCCCCGGAACCACGGGCGGUGCCUACUAGGUUGUGACGGCGGCGGUCACGGCGGCGGGAUGACGGAGGGGAAACAUAUACAAAAAUAUAACUUAAAAAAAAUCUAACUUAAAAAAAAUCUAACUUAAAAAAAAUCUAACUUAAAAAUCUAACUUAAAAAUCUAACUUAACAAUCUAACUAAAAAAUCUAACUUAAAAAUAUAACUUAAUUUUCUAACUUAACAAUCAUACUUAAAAAUCUAUCAUAAAAAUAUAACUUAAUUUUCUAACUUAAAAAAAAAGGCCCUCCCGGCGCUGCCAGCCGACGCGGCAGCGGACCUCUCGCGCGCGGUCGUCGAUGGUGGCCGGGGCGACGAGGUGGCCGGGUCGGCGGGAC
rnacentral:lncRNA from 1 species